CUUAUUGUUUUUAUUGCAGCCCAUUAUAUUUAUAAUUCAAUUAAAAAAAUAAAGAAAAAGGAUGGAAAACGGAAAUGGUGGAGUUUUGGGAGGAAGUUAGGGCUAAGGACUUAUGACGUUCCGGUUCAUAAACAAAAUAUGCUAUCUCCCUCUCUCCUCGUCUUCUCCUUCAAACCUACGGAAAUCGCUCCGCCAUACCGGAGGCGAUGGAGCUCAUCCAAUCCCCAAAUCUAUUACACCUUUACCUUCAUCUUAUCUGUCUCUAUCUUCUUCUCACCUCAAUUUUCCAGAUCCCGUUUCCAUCUUCCAAAUUUGGGUUAA